AAAUCAGAGCAGAGAGAAGGGUCCAAUAAGAUUUUCUUGGUAUUAGGAACCUCAAACAAAAUCAAAAACUACCGACAUCUGAAUUGGGAAUUUGAGUAGAGGCCAAUAUUGUUCAGAUUUUUUCUUGGGAUACAUCAAAUAAGAUAAAAAUAUAAGAUAUCAUGAUAUUAUAUUUAUUUAGUUUAAAAUAACCUUAAGAUUAGGUGUUUUGUGAAAUAUUUAUAUAUAAUACAUAAUUUUUUUUAUUUUAUUUUGCGAGACACUUUGAGUUCAUAGCUAGAUUCUUUCACAAUUUUGUGCAUGAAUGGUUUAUCAGUCCCAAGUCAAAAUUGGCUGCCAUAAGAGGAUCUGUUUGUUAUUGAAUGCAAAGGUGAGUUGUGAUGGUGAUGGUGAUGGGUGAUAUGCAAAAUCAAAAUUUGGUGUUGCAGCUAAAGGUAUGGAAAUUUACAUGUUAAUUUCGUUUCAUAUGUUGUGACUGUUUGUGUCUAGUUCCAUCUUCUCCCCUUGCUCUCUUGUUUAAUGGCAUGGAAAAAGUUCUUACUUUUCUCUCUAAUAUGUUCAUUAUUUGCUACUCUUGUUAUCAUGUCUCUAGUUUAAUUUGUCAUGACUAGGUUACUCUUAAAAUUUGAUCCAUUUUGUUAUAUGCAUAUUUCAUGUAAUCUAUCUUUAGAAAAGAAAACAUUCUCUAUUAGAAGUAUACCAUACUUUUUUUGGUUUUUUUUUAUCAUCAUAGUGCUAUUUUUUUUUAAUUUUUCUUUUAUAAAAAUGAGUUCUUUUUUAAAAAAAUAAUCAUAUUUAGGAUAGUCAUGUCAAUGUGAAAUAGUACCUUGACACAAUUUUAGCCAUGUCAAUAUGAACUUAUGUCAACUUGACACAACUUUGAUAACGUUAACUUGAAGUUUUGCCAACUUGACACGACUUUUUACAUCAAUCUGAAAUCAUGUCAAGAUGACACGACUUUAGUAUUAAAUGUCUGAUGAUGAUGAAGUAUGUGAUCAUAUGUCUAAACUUUAUUUGAACUUAAUGUCAAAUUCUCAUUUUUAUUUGUCAUUACAAUUUUAUUUUAUUCAAAAAAAUGUUUGUGGUUGCAUAUGUAAAAAAGGAGAAGUGGGAAAUAGAAGACACAUUAAAGAAAAUCAUAGCUGGUGGAUGUAUACAUAAAAACAGGAUGUGACAAAUAGCAAACAUGUUUAUCCAACCAAAUGAGCCCAGACUUUUCAGUAACAUGUUGCAAAUAUAAAAAAGCUGGUGGCGAAUAACAUUAUUCUGUGUCAACCGAAUUAGCCAGGAAUUUCAAGAAAACGUGAUGCACAUAUAAAAAAUGGGCUGCAAAUAGUAAAAAUGUUGGCCGAAUUAAUGAACGAAAAUAGGGUGCAUAGAAAACGGGUGGCAAUUAGUAAAAACAUUGGGCCAAAUAAACGGUCCAGAUUAAAAAGAAAUAUAUGAGGUGUACAUAUAAAAAGCGUGUGACAAUUAGUGUAAAUGUUGGGCCAAUUGAGUAGGCCCAGAUCUUUUACAAAACUAAAACAAAAUGCUAUGUAUAAAAAAACAGGGGCACCACAUCGUCACUAAUUCACUUUUGCUUCCACGCUUCAAUUUCAAUUAAGCCCACUAAUUUUGAGUUACUCCAAAUGUGGCUAGUUAAUAUUCAAAAAGCAAAAUGGGACGCAUCAGUUGUUGUGCACAUUUUUGCAAAAGGCCUUUAUAAACAAAAGUGAGUUUGCCAUUAACUUUUUUUUUUACAAAUUUUUCUUCCAACAUAUCAAUUUCAACAUGCACCAAAUUUAUUACUAAAAUGACAAAAAUGUUUCUACGAAAUAAUGAAAAUGAUGACAAGAGAAUGUGGAUAAAAAAUACUUAUAAAAUUCUUUUUCUGGAAUACAUUUCCAGAUUUAUAUUUUUGGAACACAUUUUUAAAUUUUGAAAAUUCUUUUAUAGAAUGCAUUUUCAGAGUUUGAAAAAUUUGAAAGAUGAUAGUAUGCAAGUUGAAAUUGACAUGGUACAGGAAGAAGAAUUUGCCUAUGUUUUUUUCUAUGGAAAGUGAGUGAGGAUUUUUCUUUUGUUUUUUCAAAAUAGAUUAAUAUGAAAAGAGAGAUUAUAAAACUCUGUGAAUGUGGAAUGCAAGUGUGUAAAGGAAGAAGACGAAGAUGUAUGAUGAGAGUGUGGAGUUGCAAUAGACAUUACAGUGGAGAAGAAUGAGAGUUUUUAGAGGCUCCAAACCUCUUGCACGAAGGUUUUCAUGGAAUUAGCAACUAGUUUAUUGAAAACUGCCCUUGCCUGGGAAAUUUGGAGCUGAUACAAGAGUCUGAAUCAUUUGCAACACUCACAAAUAAAGCAGUGAUGCUGAUAACCAAUUACAAUUGAAGUGAUGUACCAAAUUUAUUAUUCUAUUAACGUGAUUAUAAAUCAGUGUGGAAGUUAACUCCAAAAAGUAUUAUAACCCCACUUUGGGUUAUGUUUUCAUCAUGAACAAUACAGGUUUAUAUAAUCUAGAGAGUAUACUGGGAUAGUUAGAUUUACAGGGAAGAAAAGGAAUUGAUCAUUACAAACAUAGUUUCUAGAUUAGCUCUAUCUUAUGAAAGAAAAAUAUGUGUUUUUGUUUAACAUCUUAUUUGACAUAUGUUUUGAAUUAUUUGAAUUAUGUACCAUAAUAUUGCAUUUCACAGUAUUAAUAUGAUCUUCUGCUGGUUUUAAGACCGUAUAUUUCUCAAACUCAGGAAAUUGGUAGGGAAAAUAUAUCUUUAAUUAUAGUUGAAAUAAUAUUUAUUAAGAAGUAGAUUUUAAGUCUAACUCAAUCUUAUAAAACUGAUUUAUAAAGUGACACUCAUUUAUAAAGAAUGAAAUAUUUUAAUCUCCAAUGUGAGAUCUUCAAUAAUCUCAAAAGUGUUUGUUCUUAUAAAGUUAGAUCUUGUCUAUCAAGUUUUCUCUGCACUACUCCUCCAGUCUCUUAGUCUUUCGGCUUAUUAGGAUAAGAUCAGAUCUUUUUUAUUAAGUUUCUCUAUCCUACUCCUCCAGUCUCUUAGUCAUUGAGCUUGGCGGGAUAAGGUCUGAUCUUGUCUAUCAAGUUUCCUUUGUCCUAUUCCUCCAGUCUCUCAGUUUUUCGAUUUGACAAGAUUUAUUUACAAAGAGAUAUUUCAACGAUAAAGUUAAAGGUGAAUAUAUUUAUUAUGUCAUGUACGUAAAAUCAAUACAGUGUCUAAUCUCAAACUUUUGAUGGAUUGGUAAUUUGCAUAUUCCUAUACUCUAAUUGUAACAUAAAUGGCGCAAAUAUAGUAUCCAUGUUCACUGAAGUCAGUUUUUUUUGCAUCUACAGUUAACACAGUUGUAGCAUAUACCUUUGCAAUGCCCUUUUCAAAAUUGGCUUCUCUUUCACUUUAGCACUUAUUCUGAUAUAGCAGAAAAAAUGUGUAAUAUUAUAUGAAAAAGAAGAAUUUAGGAUCUCACAAUCUCUCAAAUCAAGGUAUCUAAACUCCCCCUUGUACUUGCUAGAAACAGUUUUUAUUUAUUGAAUAUAAUAUACGAAUGGUGUUUCUGUUGAAGUGGAUGAAGAUGCAGAGUCUCUGAGAUAUUGAAAUUGCAGAGGAACAACAGAGAUGAAUGUAGCUUGAGUCAUUAUAUAUAUAGAAACUUCUGUAAAUAAACCAUUUUAUUAGUUUACUAUUUUUCUUUAUUUUUGUUGCU
rnacentral:lncRNA from 1 species